CGCCGCGCUGCGAGCGGAGCUGCCCGGCAGGAAGGGGGAAAUGUGUUAUACUGCUUCUUAGUUUCGGGGAACGGGGUUAGCGUCAGGGCGAGCAAACGGCUUUGUGCGGGCUACGACUUCUGGAAGGGGCUCCUCGGCUUCCCCGCCGCACUCAGCAAUUCCUUAGGGACAGUUAUAAAGAAACAAAAGAGAAAUAUGAGGGAGAGCUAUGAAAGGAAUGACUAGAAGCAUGCCUGGAGACAUGACUGAAUGAUAGCAAUGAUAACAUGUAUGCAUACAUGCGCUAGCAAUAAACAUAGAAUGACUAUGAAGCGUGCCUGGAGAUACAGCAAAUAGGGUGUAUUUUAUUCAUAUGGUGCCACCCAUAAUGAGAGAAGCACAAGUGAUCUUUUAAUUAACAUAGGAUUAAAUUCUUUCAGGUGUGUGUUAAACACAGCCCGCUGGGAGGGAGUAUUGGGUCAGAAUGUGCUCUUAAAGCGCUGGAUGUGUUUUUAGAGAGCUGUCUUCAGCUCAAACGCAGGACAUUGGGACGAGUUGUUCUUACGCCAGCUGGAAUCUCUUAGGACAUGGAGCUUACAGCAGGUGCUAAACUCAUCUCUUCCAAAUUACUUAUGCUCCCUUGGCCCUGAGCAAUCUUCUGCUCGUGAGAAGGUAGUCGUGGUUUUCUUAUAGUUUCUGUCUCCCAAAGAAGUAUUCAAAGCAGCCCAUGUGAUGAGAUGAGGAUGGAGAUUUGAAGUGACAGAUGCCUAAGAACGCAGACCCAGCACAACAGAUAGUCUUUCCUGGCCCAGUAAAUGUGAUUUUGUUCACGUUAUGCUGCGAUGUUAUAGCAAUGCAGUGAAUAACAGCAAACCAGUACCUAAUAUUUGUGUGUGUAUUCACAGGGUUUAGCUUCAGGUAGUGCAGGUGACUAAGGUGAGGUAGGUCUCCACAGGCUGUGUAGCUGAUGAAGGGCAAUUUCUUUAGAGGUCAGGUCAGAAAAGGAGUUCACCUGAAAUUCCCUCAAGAGAAAUGCUUUCAUAGCUUGACAAUUCAGAGCUUAAGGAGACUACCUUUCUAUGUUUGCCAUGUAGCAGCUGGUAUCUUCAGGCUCACAUCAGAACAGAUCUCAUGUUUGCAGAAAGCACAUUGAGUUCACUCCACUGAAUGGCAGGAACUGAGUCAAGAGAAACGGCUCAAGCUGGAAGUCCAUAAGUGAACGCAGGGUCUCAUCAGAAAAAGGUGGAGAUUGACUCCUGCCCUAGACCACAGUUUUCACAAAAUCUAGAAAUUCCUGCCUCGGACUGACAAGAGCCUGGAAUCCAAAUCUUUCAGGGUAACUGACAAAACUCACAGCUGCAAAAGAAAAGCUGUGGAGUCUAUACAAUACAGCUUUACUGAGGCAAAUCUUCAACCCUCUGACAUGUCAUUCUCAUUUGGCUCGUCUCUUGCUAGUAAAAAUGUACUCUGCAUUUGGGGCUGAGACUCUACACAAACCUCAGGAAGAAGCCUACACUCUUGGAUUCCAAGGAUCUGGAUGAAGCAGACUGCACUAUUUCCCAUCACACAGGAGCACUCAGCUGUAACCAGCACCCACACUGCACCUCCAACACACUUCUAGGAGAUUCCCCAUUUUGAUUGGAUUUGCCGACUACUUGUCGGGGCAUUGCAGGAAUUGGGCUGCAGGAGGGUGAUUUGUUGCGGAGGGCAGCACCACACCCAGCCGUUCCCUCACACACCUCGGAGCCCUUACAGUGGGGCCCAGAUGACAUCUGGAGGGAGUGUUCGGAACCUUGCUUGGGAUUGAGAGAUCUUACCCAAUUCCUUCAGAAAGUACCAGCUCAAUUCUGUCCACUCCAUGACAAGGCUCAGGCUCUGA